UGAAGCAAGGGAGAGGGUCCCAGGGCUGCAGAACUGGAAGCAGAGGCCAAGGAGGGAGACGGUGCUAUAUCCAAGCUCCUCCUCGACUCGGCGGUGGCUGGGACGACCCCAGCCUGACUUGACUCAUCAGGCUCUCCCCUUCCCAUCUUCACCCUGAGUCCAACCAGGUGGUGGACACCUGGUCCCUCCAGGGGGACGGGCCUGAAGGCGUUGGCCUGUUUAGCAGUCAGGUCCUUGUCGUGGGUGUUUUUGACAACUGCUUUUUGGUUGACUUAGGAGUAUCUGUCCCAAAUCAGAGGUUGAGGAAAGUCCCUGCCUGGCGGAGCCCUUUUCCUGUGGCCCCAGCCUGGGUGCGGGAGGGGGGUGUCUUCUCUUGGGCAACUAGGAGACUGGGAAGACACAGAACCUCUUGGGGAAGCAGUCGGGAGCCCCUGGGGAGGCGCUGAUGCGGUUGGCUGCCUCCCAAUCUCAAAGCACAAUGUGGGUUUGGGGACCAAAGGCCAGGAACACAUCCAGCUGGGGGACCUGUGGCCAGGGGCGUGGGGAUGGUGGGUGGAGCGCCACCGCCCCCAGGAGGGCCUGGAGCAGCCUGUGGUCACUCUGCUGAAUUUUCCUUCCCAAACAAGGCGGGCCAGUCCCUGGAAUCUCGCUCCUCCCGUCCUAAAAAUAGGGGCCUUUUUCUUACCCCCAGAGGGAGGAGGGACCGUCUCACUGGUGCUGAGGGACCCAGGGCUGCUGGGCGUCCCUGUCCCUUACCACAACCACCCAUCUCUAGGAGAGCACAGGACCCUGAGGGCUGGGCUGGGUCUCUGGGCUUUUGUACAGUUCCAGAGGUCUUUCAGCCAAUCGAGCCCCAGGAAAGAAGACCCCGUCAGAGCUGGAAUGUGAAUUCAACUCUUGUGGACCAAUCACAAAAACGCAGGAAGCCUGCUGGUGAGAAAGGGAAUUCUCCCAAAACUGCUUCCUGUUUUCUCCCCUUGUGUCCCUCCAGGGAAAACUAUUGCUUCAUUUCUGCCUUUCCCCCCUCACAUAUGCACUUUUGGGCCUUUUUUUAAAGCUGGAAGAAAACAAAACAAAACACCGCCCCACAACCUGUAUUUAAAAAGAAACAGAAAUGACCGUGUGAAAUUUGCCUCUGUCCAGACAUUUCAUCCGUGUGUGUGUGUGUGUGUGUGUGUGUGUGUGUCCACCGUUCAUCUUUUUAUAUGGGGUUGUCUUAUUUCAGUCUGUUUUGGUCCCCUCCCUGGUGGGCCUGUGCUCGGGAUCAAAUCUCUCUGACCUGUUAUGAUUCUGAACAUUUGACUUGAACCACAAGUGAAUCUUUCUCCUGGUGACUCAAAUAAAAGUAUAAUUUUUACCUGCGGA